UGAAAGAAAGAGAAAUUUUGACAGCAGUUGGAGAUGCCGAACAUUUGGUUCUCAGGGCAGUGUGUGAAAAGUGAAAACACGCACGGGACGCCAUCUAGCGGUGACUGUGCGUCACUGAAUAAUGCAGCCGCGCUGAAUGAACUCACCUCCAGACGCUCCUGGAUUCGGGAUUGGGACUCUUUACGUUCUUAAAGAAGUUCUUAAGUUCUGCCGUCAUGAGUGAGAACUCCAUCUCCAGCAGAUGGAGACGAGAUACAGCUGACCAGGAGCUGGAUGGACUAUGAGCAGGAUUUGACUCUCUUGCAGACAUGGUGUAAGAUGGAUAAAAACACAAUUCAUUCUGUGUACCGCUUACUUCCUGUCAGGUCUAUGAGUGCUGUGACUCGCUCACCCUCUGUCUGGAUGACAGUGUGCUAGUGCUACAGAGAGGUGGAUUCUGGGAAGAUUCUCUGGAUGUUCCUGUGAUCACAACUGCCUGCGAUGGACAGUUGCAGGUGUUUUUUAAUGAUGGAAGUCACCUGGUUAAGGUGUUUGAUCUCGUGGCGUCCUGUUCACUGUUGCGUUGUGUAAACCUCACCCUCCAGUUUGAGCCCAUCCACAAAGAUCAGUCCAUCUGAGUGUCUCGUCACUCUGUUAAAGACUAUGUUCUCUUCGCCUACAGGGAUGGAGGAGAGGCAGCAAUAUUCAGUGCUAAAGGUGGAGUUGUGUCCAUCACAUUGAAAGCUCAACACCCUGCAGCAUCUAUUCAAGCUGUAGAGAUCAGCUCUCAGUAUUUACUGCUCUUCUGCAGCCAGGACUACAUUUCACAGGUCACCAUCACAGGGGGCGGAUCCCACACUGUGGCCCUUUGUCCCAAACCCCUCACAGCACCACCACAGAGAUUAUAAUCUGGAACCUUGAGACUGAAGACCAUAAACACAUUGCACGGUUUCCUGGCCUGCUGGCUCAUGGUGUGUGUUCUGAUCUACGGUACUGUGUGGGUUUCUGUCCCGGGGAAGCGAUUCUUACGCCUGUGGAACCUGGGAUCCAGAAUAAAUGACCACACACUCACAUACAACGUGCACAAAGCACACAGCGAUGGCACAGCGGAGAUUGUAACCAUGCAGAGAUAGCCAAGGUAGGUAGUGUGUUAACGCCCAUACUGUAAGAAUCUGGAAUGUGGUGUGGGCACGAUUCAGGGGUCGUCCUGUGCAGGUGGAGCAUGGCCUGUUCUCAAGUCGCUCUUGUACGAGACCUGAAACUCUAUAUACUGUCUGACUGCAUUACCGCCAACUUCACAGAUACACCUACAUCUGUCUACCAGGUACUUCUGUGCACCACACAGACUGAAGAUAUUGCACAGGACCUAUUUUUAUGCUGGUCUGAAACCCCCGUCCUGACAUCCGUCACCUGAAAUUGAAGCUGAUUGUAUAGUUGUUUGACAUAUGAGUACAGUUGUUUAUGUUUAUCAAGCAUGCUCACACUUGCAUCAAGUCCAUCUUCAGUAAUGUCUCUAAUUGAUUAAAAAAAAAUUGCUUUCAGUUACUUUUGUGGUUUUACACAGUUUACACUAAAAUGGAUCAUUAGCUAUUGAUCAGUGCAAUUUGUAAUUUAUCAGUAAAUCAAUCAGCUCAGCUCGAAAUGUAAAAAAAAUAAAAACAAAAUAAAACUAACGGAAUGCAUAGUCGAUAUAAAAAACUGGAUGAAGAGUAAUUUCUUACUGCUAAAUUCUGAAAAAAACAGAGGUGUUAAUUAUA